GGAGUGGCGAACGGGUGAGUAACACGUGGGUAACCUGCCCAUCAGAAGGGGAUAACACUUGGAAACAGGUGCUAAUACCGUAUAACAAUCGAAACCGCAUGGUUUUGAUUUGAAAGGCGCUUUCGGGUGUCUCUGAUGGAUGGACCCGCGGUGCAUUAUCUAUUUGGUGAGGUAACGGCUCACCAGGGCCACGAUGCAUACCCCACCUGAGAGGGUGAUCGGCCACAUUGAGACUGAGACACGGCCCAAACUCCUACGGGAGGCAGCAGUAGGGAAUCUUCGGCAAUGGACGAAAGUCUGACCGAGCAACGCCGCGUGAGUGAAGAAGGUUUUCAGAUCGUAAAACUCUGUUGUUAGAGAAGAACAAGGAUGAGAGUAACUGUUCAUCCCUUGACGGUAUCUAACCAGAAAGCCACGGCUAACUACGUGCCAGCAGCCGCGGUAAUACGUAGGUGGCAAGCGUUGUCCGAGAUUUAUUGGGGCGUAAAGCGAGCGCAGGCGGUUUCUUAAGUCUGAUGUGAAAGCCCCCGGCUCAACCGGGGAGGGUCAUUGGAAACUGGGAGACUUGAGUGCAGAAGAGGAGAGUGGAAUUCCAUGUGUAGCGGUGAAAUGCGUAUAUAUAUGGAGGAACACCAGUGGCGAAGGCGACUCUCUGGUCUGUAACUGACGCUGAGGCUCAAAAGCGUGGGGAGCAAACGGGAUUAUAUCCCCUGGUAGUCCACGCCGUAAACGAUGAGUGCU
rnacentral:rRNA from 1 species